GAGCUCGGGGAUGAUAAUCUGCUGAAUUAAUGAAUGUGUUUAUGGGAGAGCUCACCCCGACCCUUCACCCCUAACCCUUGUCCUUGCUGUUUUUGCUUUCCGGUUCUUACUGUUGACAUAGAUGCGACUACUGGGCGGCUGAUUAGAAGUUAAGAAGCCGAAGUAAACGUCUCUCCCUGGCUCCCUCCUAUUCCCUCCCACAGACAGAAGUCCAGAGCCCAGGAGCCGCAACUACUGAAGGCUGCAUGGACCCUAGAAUCUGUGCUCUGCAACAGGAGAAGCCACCACACCGCAACUAGAGAGGAGCCCCAACUUCGCCACAACCAGAGGAAAGUCCAUGCAUAACAGUGAAGACCCAGCACAGCCAUAAAU
ensembl:lncRNA